GGUGCUGUGGCUUAGUUGGUAAAAGCGGCUGUCUAGUAAACAGGAGAUCCUGGGUUUAAAUCCCAGCAGUGCCU
rfam:Danio rerio chromosome 4, GRCz11 reference primary assembly.